rnacentral:rRNA from 1 species
CCUACGGGAGGCAGCAGUGAGGAAUAUUGGUCAAUGGACGAGAGUCUGAACCAGCCAAGUCGCGUGAAGGAUGACUGCCCUAUGGGUUGUAAACUUCUUUUAUAUGGGAAUAAAACGUUCCACGUGUGGGAUUUUGUAUGUACCAUAUGAAUAAGGAUCGGCUAACUCCGUGCCAGCAGCCGCGGUAAUACGGAGGAUACGAGCGUUAUCCGGAUUUAUUGGGUUUAACGGGAGCGUAGGUGGAUUUGUAAGUCAGUUGUGAAAGUUUGCGGCUCAACCGUAAAAUUGCAGUUGAAACUGGCAGUCUUGAGUACAGUAGAGGUGGGCGGAAUUCGUGGUGUAGCGGUGAAAUGCUUAGAUAUCACGAAGAACUCCGAUUGCGAAGGCAGUUCACUGGACUGCAACUGACACUGAGGCUCGAAAGUGUGGGUAUCAAACAGGAUUAGAGACCCCUGUAGUC